rnacentral:hammerhead_ribozyme from 1 species
GUACUGCUGAAGAGUCCAAAACUACGACUAAACAGCUGUCCAGUAC